rnacentral:rRNA from 1 species
UUCGAAGCAACGCGAAGAACCUUACCAGGUCUUGACAUCUUCUGACAACCCUAGAGAUAGGGCUUUCCCUUCGGGGACAGAGUGACAGGUGGUGCAUGGUUGUCGUCAGCUCGUGUCGUGAGAUGUUGGGUUAAGUCCCGCAACGAGCGCAACCCUUGAUUUUAGUUGCCAGCAUUCAGUUGGGCACUUUAAGGUGACUGCCGGUGACAAACCGGAGGAAGGUGGGGAGGACGUCAAAUCAUCAUGCCCCUUAUGACCUGGGCUACACACGUGCUACAAUGGACAGAACAAAGGGCUGCGAGACCGCAAGGUUUAGCCAAUCCCACAAAUCUGUUCUCAGUUCGGAUCGCAGUCUGCAACUCGACUGCGUGAAGCUGGAAUCGCUAGUAAUCGCGGAUCAGCAUGCCGCGGUGAAUACGUUCCCGGGCCUUGUACACACCGCCCGUCACACCACGAGAGUUUGCAACACCCGAAGUCGGUGAGGUAACCUU